rnacentral:pre_miRNA from 1 species
AGAUAUGUUUGGGUUACUUGGUGUCGAGACACGCAUUCGCCACCGCGGCGCUGUCCCUCUUUACAAUGCACACCAGUGACCAAACAUAUUCUC